rnacentral:lncRNA from 1 species
GUAUUUCCGCGGGCGCUGAGCACUAGAGAGAGCGUCUUGUGGCUGCGGCCUGCCCCUCAGCCUCCUCCGCGCGGUUACCCCUGUACCCGCCGCCAUCCGUCCUGGCGCUCCGGAUGAGUCAAUGAGGGGCAGGGCCCGAGGAGUGGUCUUCCCAAGAACCCCUGGUGGCCUCCCAAGGCCGCACCCUGAUCUGCACUCCCUGAGGGGCUCCCACUGUCCGCGGUGUGAGGAUGUCCCUGGAUAGUCCACUGUGUGCAGAGGCAUGGGAGUUGUCAUGUUGGGAACAUGCUAGACCUCAGUAUCCUUGAGGGAUGCUGCCUUGGGUCUGGAAACUGUUAGAGGAAACCCCAAGAGGUGCAGGCACUGAGCCUCUCAGGACAAUGACCUGGGGUCCCAGCUCCCCUGGAGGGGCCUCCUCAUGAUUGUUUGGGGGUUGAUCACAGACCAAGAGUGACGAGUGAUGUCACCCUGUGACUCAUGGCUGGACCUUCUUGCCCCUAUUGUCUCAGCACAACAUUAUUCGACUUUUCCCUCAGCGUGGGUGGGCAGAGGAAAAGCCCUGUGGCUCUGGGGACUUGGGAUCCAGAGUUGAAGACCCUUCAGCUGGCUCUGCCCUGCCAGUGCCACAGAGUGCCAUGGCCCAGGAAGACAGGUUUUCUUCCAUCUAGGCCAGGCCAUCCAGUGGCCAUCCUCCGUGUCCUCCCGCCUCCUCCUGGUGUGACUUCUGAAAACCAAGAAUUUGUUCCUGUUGACUUUUUCUGUGCUAUGGACCAUUGUCCUCUCACCCACUCAAUAAAUCUUGAAACAUGC